GGUCAGGAUGAACGCUAGCGGCAGGCUUAACACAUGCAAGUCGAGGGGCAUCGGGAGUAGCAAUACUUGCCGGCGACCGGCGCAAGGGUGCGUAACGCGUGAGCAACAUGCCCGUAUCAGGGGGAUAAUCCAUGGAAACGUGGUCUAAUACCCCAUAGUAAUUAUGUAAGGCAUCUUAUAUAAUUUAAAGCUUUGGUGGAUACGGAUUGGCUCGCGUGACAUUAGCUAGAUGGUAAGGUAACGGCUUACCAUGGCUACGAUGUCUAGGGGUUCUGAGAGGAAGGUCCCCCACACUGGAACUGAGACACGGUCCAGACUCCUACGGGAGGCAGCAGUGAGGAAUAUUGGACAAUGGAUGGAAAUCUGAUCCAGCCAUGCCGCGUGCCAGGAAGACGGCCCUAUGGGUUGUAAACUGCUUUUGUAUGGGAGCAAUAAGGGCUACGCGUAGUCCGAUGAGAGUACCAUACGAAUAAGCACCGGCUAACUCCGUGCCAGCCGCCGC
rnacentral:rRNA from 1 species